rnacentral:rRNA from 1 species
UACGUAGGGUGCAAGCGUUGUUCGGAAUCACUGGGCGUAAAGCGCGUGUAGGCGGCCCACUAAGUCUGAUGUGAAAGCCCGGGGCUCACCCCCGGAAGUGCAUUGGAAACUGGUGGACUCGAGUCCCGGAGAGGAGAGUGGAAUUCCUGGUGUAGCGGUGAAAUGCGUAGAUAUCAGGAGGAACACCGGUGGCGAAGGCGGCUCUCUGGACGGUGACUGACGCUGAGACGCGAAAGCGUGGGGAGCAAACAGG